rnacentral:rRNA from 1 species
UACAGAGGUCCCAAGCGUUGUUCGGAUUCAUUGGGCGUAAAGGGUGCGUAGGUGGCGCCGUAAGUCGGGUGUGAAAUUUCGGAGCUUAACUCCGAAACUGCAUUCGAUACUGCGGUGCUUGAGGACUGGAGAGGAGACUGGAAUUCAUGGUGUAGCAGUGAAAUGCGUAGAGAUCAUGAGGAAGACCAGUGGCGAAGGCGGGUCUCUGGACAGUUCCUGACACUGAGGCACGAAGGCCAGGGAGCAAACGGG